rnacentral:rRNA from 1 species
UACAGAGGGGGCAAGCGUUGUUCGGAAUUACUGGGCGUAAAGGGCGCGUAGGCGGCCUGCUAAGUCGAACGUGAAAUCCCUGGGCUCAACCCAGGAACUGCGUCCGAUACUGGUUGGCUUGAAUCCGGGAGAGGGACGUGGAAUUCCAGGUGUAGCGGUGAAAUGCGCAGAUAUCGGGAGGAACACCAAUGGCGAAGGCAGCUCGCUGGGACGUUACUGACGCUGAGACGCGAAAGCGUGGGGAGCAAACAGG